rnacentral:rRNA from 1 species
UUCUGACCGUAAACGAUACCCAUCUAGCGAUCCGGUGGUGGUUUUACCGCCUUGCCGGGGAGCUUCCCGGAAACGAAAGACUUCCGGUUCCGGGGGUAGUAUGGUUGCAAAGCUGAAACUUAAAGGAAUUGACGGAAUCGCACCACCAGGAGUGGAGCCUGCGGCUUAAUUUGACUCAACACGGGAAAACUCACCCGGCCCGGACACUGUAAGGAUUGACAGACUGAGAGCUCUUUCUUGAUUCGGUGGUUGGUGGUGCAUGGCCGUUCUUAGUUGGUGGAGCGAUUUGUCUGGUUUAUUCCGAUAACGAGCGAGACGCACCCCUACUUAAUACACCGUGAAUAAUUUCGUUCACAGGUGUUCUUAGAGGAAUUGGCGGUAUCGAGCCGCACGAAAGUGCGCAAUAACAGGUCUGUGAUGCCCUUAGAUGUUCGGGGCUGCACGCGUGCUACACUGGAGUCUGCAACGUGUUCCAUGGCCGAAGGGUCACUGGUAAACCGUUGAAAAGAUUCCGUGAUCGGGAUAGGGAAUUGCAAUUAUUUCCCUUGAACGAGGAAUUCCUAGUAAGUGUGAGUCAUCAUCUCGCUCUU